CCUACGGGGCGCAGCAGUGGGGAAUAUUGCACAAUGGGGGAAACCCUGAUGCAGCGACGCCGCGUGAAGGAUGAAGUAUUUCGGUAUGUAAACUUCUAUCAGCAGGGAAGAAAAUGACGGUACCUGACUAAGAAGCCCCGGCUAACUACGUGCCAGCAGCCGCGGUAAUACGUAGGGGGCAAGCGUUAUCCGGAUUUACUGGGUGUAAAGGGAGCGUAGACGGCAUGGCAAGUCUGAUGUAAAAACCCGGGGCUCAACC
rnacentral:rRNA from 1 species